rnacentral:misc_RNA from 1 species
CCCUGUCUAGAGGGUGGAGUGAGA